GGACCCUAGCUAAGUGGCAGAGCAUCUGCCUUACAAGCAGAAGGUCCCAGGUUCAAUCCCUGGCAUCUCCA